CCUACGGGAGGCAGCAGUAGGGAAUUUUGCACAAUGGGCGCAAGCCUGAUGCAGCAACGCCGCGUGAGUGAAGAAGGCUCUUGGGUUGUAAAGCUCUUUCGGCUGGGAAGAAGGGUUUGCCUGCGAACAGCUUGCAGAUCUGACGGUACCAGAAGAAGAAGCACCUGCUAACUUCGUGCCAGCAGCAGCGGUAAUACGAAGGGUGCAAGCGUUGUUCGGAAUUACUGGGCGUAAAGCGCGCGUAGGCGGGCUUGUAAGUUGAUUGUGAAAUCCCUGGGCUCAACCUGGGAACUGCAGUCAAUACUGCAAGUCUUGAAUGUCUGAGAGGAUGGCGGAAUUCCCGGUGUAGUAGUGAAAUACGUAGAUAUCGGGAAGAACACCUGAGGCGAAGGCGGCUAUCUGGCGGCACAUUGACGCUGAGGCGCGAAAGCGUGGGGAGCAAACAGGAUUAGAUACCCUUGUAGUC
rnacentral:rRNA from 1 species